GAAUUAGAGAAAGAAGAACAAAAAAAUCCCCAAAGUUAGCAGAAGGAAAGAAAUCGUAAAAAUCAGAUCAGAAAUAAAUGAAAAAGAAAUGAAGGAAACAAUAGCAAAGAUCAAUAAAACUAAAAGCUGGUUCUUUGAGAAGAUAAACAAAAUAGAUAAACCACUAGCCAGACUCAUCAAGAAAAAAAGGGAGAAGACUCAAAUCAAUAAAAUUAGAA